rnacentral:rRNA from 1 species
AGUCGAGGGGUAUGGUUCUUCGGAACCGAGACCGGCGCACGGGUGCGUAACGCGUAUGCAAUCUACCUUUUACAGAGGGAUAGCCCAGAGAAAUUUGGAUUAAUACCUCAUAGUAUUAUUGAAUGGCAUCAUUUAAUAAUUAAAGUCACAACGGUAAAAGAUGAGCAUGCGUCCCAUUAGCUUGUUGGUAAGGUAACGGCUUACCAAGGCAACGAUGGGUAGGGGUCCUGAGAGGGAGAUCCCCCACACUGGUACUGAGACACGGACCAGACUCCUACGGGAGGCAGCAGUGAGGAAUAUUGGUCAAUGGGCGCAAGCCUGAACCAGCCAUGCCGCGUGCAGGAUGAAGCAUCUAUGGUGUGUAAACUGCUUUUGUACGAGAAGAAACACUCCUACGUGUAGGAGCUUGACGGUAUCGUAAGAAUAAGGACCGGCUAACUCCGUGCCAGCAGCCGCGGUAAUACGGAGGGUCCAAGCGUUAUCCGGAAUCAUUGGGUUUAAAGGGUCCGUAGGCGGUUUUGUAAGUCAGUGGUGAAAGCCCAUCGCUCAACGGUGGAACGGCCAUUGAUACUGCAAGACUUGAAUUAUUAGGAAGUAACUAGAAUAUGUAGUGUAGCGGUGAAAUGCUUAGAGAUUACAUGGAAUACCAAUUGCGAAGGCAGGUUACUACUAAC